GCAAUUUAUACAGUGAAACUGCGAAUGGCUCAUUAAAUCAGUUAUCGUUUAUUUGAUAGUUCCUUUACUACAUGGUAUAACUGUGGUAAUUCUAGAGCUAAUACAUGCUUAAAAUCUCGACCCUUUGGAAGAGAUGUAUUUAUUAGAUAAAAAAUCAAUGUCUUCGGACUCUUUGAUGAUUCAUAAUAACUUUUCGAAUCGCAUGGCCUUGUGCUGGCGAUGGUUCAUUCAAAUUUCUGCCCUAUCAACUUUCGAUGGUAGGAUAGUGGCCUACCAUGGUUUCAACGGGUAACGGGGAAUAAGGGUUCGAUUCCGGAGAGGGAGCCUGAGAAACGGCUACCACAUCCAAGGAAGGCAGCAGGCGCGCAAAUUACCCAAUCCUAAUUCAGGGAGGUAGUGACAAUAAAUAACGAUACAGGGCCCAUUCGGGUCUUGUAAUUGGAAUGAGUACAAUGUAAAUACCUUAACGAGGAACAAUUGGAGGGCAAGUCUGGUGCCAGCAGCCGCGGUAAUUCCAGCUCCAAUAGCGUAUAUUAAAGUUGUUGCAGUUAAAAAGCUCGUAGUUGAACUUUGGGCCCGGUUGGCCGGUCCGAUUUUUUCGUGUACUGGAUUUCCAACGGGGCCUUUCCUUCUGGCUAACCUUGAGUCCUUGUGGCUCUUGGCGAACCAGGACUUUUACUUUGAAAAAAUUAGAGUGUUCAAAGCAGGCGUAUUGCUCGAAUAUAUUAGCAUGGAAUAAUAGAAUAGGACGUUUGGUUCUAUUUUGUUGGUUUCUAGGACCAUCGUAAUGAUUAAUAGGGACGGUCGGGGGCAUCAGUAUUCAAUUGUCAGAGGUGAAAUUCUUGGAUUUAUUGAAGACUAACUACUGCGAAAGCAUUUGCCAAGGACGUUUUCAUUAAUCAAGAACGAAAGUUAGGGGAUCGAAGAUGAUCAGAUACCGUCGUAGUCUUAACCAUAAACUAUGCCGACUAGGGAUCGGGUGGUGUUUUUUUAAUGACCCACUCGGCACCUUACGAGAAAUCAAAGUCUUUGG
rnacentral:rRNA from 1 species